GAGUUUGAUCUUGGCUCAGAGUGAACGCUGGCGGCAGGCCUAACACAUGCAAGUCGAACGGCAGCACAGCAGUAGCAAUACUGUGGGUGGCGAGUGGCGGACGGGUGAGGAAUACAUCGGAAUCUACCUUGUCGUGGGGGAUAACGUAGGGAAACUUACGCUAAUACCGCAUACGAACUACGGUUGAAAGCGGCGGACCGCAAGGCGUCGCGCGAUUGGAUGAGCCGAUGUCCGAUUAGCUAGUUGGCGGGGUAAAGGCCCACCAAGGCGACGAUCGGUAGCUGGUCUGAGAGGAUGAUCAGCCACACUGGAACUGAGACACGGUCCAGACUCCUACGGGAGGCAGCAGUGGGGAAUAUUGGACAAUGGGCGCAAGCCUGAUCCAGCCAUGCCGCGUGUGUGAAGAAGGCCUUCGG
rnacentral:rRNA from 1 species